rnacentral:rRNA from 1 species
CCUACGGGUGGCAGCAGUGAGGAAUAUUGGUCAAUGGGCGCGAGCCUGAACCAGCCAAGUAGCGUGAAGGAUGACGGCCCUACGGGUUGUAAACUUCUUUUAUAAAGGAAUAAAGUGAGGCACGUGUGCCUUUUUGUAUGUCCUUUAUGAAUAAGGAUCGGCUAACUCCGUGCCAGCAGCCGCGGUAAUCCGGAGGUACCGAGGUUUAUCCGGGUUUAUUGGGUUUAAAGGGUGCGUAGGGGGAGCGUUAGGUCAGGGGUCAAAUGGAGGGUCUAAACCCCUUCCCGCCAUUGAAACUGGCGCGCUGGAGUGGAAGAGAAGUAUGCGGAAUGCGUGGUGUAGCGGUGAAAUGCAUAGAUAUCACGCAGAACCCCGAUUGCGAAGGCAGCAUACCGGCUUCCGACUGACGUUGAAGCACGAAAGCGUGGGGAUCGAACAGGAUUAGAUACCCGUGUAGUC